UGGGGAAUUUUGGACAAUGGGGGAAACCCUGAUCCAGCCAUCCCGCGUGUGCGAUGAAGGCCUUCGGGUUGUAAAGCACUUUUGGCAGGAAAGAAACGUCAUGGGUUAAUACCCCGUGAAACUGACGGUACCUGCAGAAUAAGCACCGGCUAACUACGUGCCAGCAGCCGCGGUAAUACGUAGGGUGCAAGCGUUAAUCGGAAUUACUUGGCGUAAAGCGUGCGCAGGCGGUUCGGAAAGAAAGAUGUGAAAUCCCAGAGCUCAACUUUGGAACUGCAUUUAUAACUACCGGGCUAGGGUGUGUCAGAGGGAGGUGGAAUUCCGCGUGUAGCAGUGAAAUGCGUAGAUAUGCGGAGGAACACCGAUGGCGAAGGCAGCCUCCUGGGAUAACACUGACGCUCAUGCACGAAAGCGUGGGGAGCAAACAGG
rnacentral:rRNA from 1 species